rnacentral:lncRNA from 1 species
GUUUGUGUCAUUUUGGUCUUUUGUGGAUAGUUGUCUCAUUAGCAAUCAUACCACAUCUUCUUUUUUAUAAUUUCUCGCUACUACAAUCUAACUUACAUAUUUUUUUAGAAAUAAUUAUACCCAAAAUAUCAUAAUUUUUAAAAAACGGAGACGAAAACGGAGACAAGUUCAUUUUCAGAAUUUAUUUUCGCAUUGAAAUUCGUUUCAGGCUUGUGAAACUGGACAAAACGAC